rnacentral:rRNA from 1 species
UACGUAGGGUGCAAGCGUUAAUCGGAAUUACUGGGCGUAAAGCGUGCGCAGGCGGUUUUGUAAGUCAGAUGUGAAAUCCCCGGGCUUAACCUGGGAACUGCGUUUGAAACUACAAGGCUAGAGUGUGACAGAGGGGGGUGGAAUCCCACGUGUAGCAGUGAAAUGCGUAGAGAUGUGGAGGAACACCGAUGGCGAAGGCAGCCCCCUGGGUUAACACUGACGCUCAGGCACGAAAGCGUGGGGAGCAAACAGG